rnacentral:rRNA from 1 species
UACGUAGGGGGCAAGCGUUAUCCGGAAUUACUGGGUGUAAAGGGAGCGUAGACGGUAAUGUAAGUCUGGAGCGAAAGGCGGGGGCCCAACCCCCGGACUGCUCUGGAAACUAUGUUACUAGAGUGCAGGAGAGGUAAGCGGAAUUCCUAGUGUAGCGGUGAAAUGCGUAGAUAUUAGGAGGAACACCAGUGGCGAAGGCGGCUUACUGGACUGUAACUGACGUUGAGGCUCGAAAGCGUGGGGAGCAAACAGG